rnacentral:rRNA from 1 species
UUAAACACAAGAGUUUGAUCCUGGCUCAGGACAAACGCUGGCGGCGUGCCUAACACAUGCAAGUCGAGCGGAGAUACCUGACGAGUAAUCAGAGGGUAUUUUAGCGGCGGACGG